GUGUUCGUAGAAAGGAGAGAUGGUUGGCAUCUCUCUCAACAGAGAUAGUAAUAUCCUUCAGGCUUUACCUGUUAUCAGACACUGUGGUUGCUCAUAUAGAUGUUGUGU
rnacentral:ncRNA from 1 species